rnacentral:misc_RNA from 1 species
AAAGUCGUAACAAGGUUUCCGUAGGUGAACCUGCGGAAGGAUCAUUAGUGAAUUUUGGGUGUCUCUUUUACAGAGAGCCCCGUCUUCCAACCUUCUACCCUGUGCACUUGUAAAGUCUUGCGCUUAUCCGCUUGGCUUAUCUUUUAUCACCCUUUUUAACGCAUGUUUAAUGGAUGUAACAAUACUAUAACAAAAUAAAACUUUCAACAACGGAUCUCUUGGCUCUC